rnacentral:rRNA from 1 species
GAUGAACGCUGGCGGCGUGCCUAAUACAUGCAAGUCGAGUGAAUGGAUUAAGAGCUUGCUCUUAUGAAGUUAGCGGCGGACGGGUGAGUAACACGUGGGUAACCUGCCCAUAAGACUGGGAUAACUCCGGGAAACCGGGGCUAAUACCGGAUAACAUUUUGAACCGCAUGGUUCGAAAUUGAAAGGCGGCUUCGGCUGUCACUUAUGGAUGGACCCGCGUCGCAUUAGCUAGUUGGUGAGGUAACGGCUCACCAAGGCAACGAUGCGUAGCCGACCUGAGAGGGUGAGCGGCCACACUGGGACUGAGACACGGCCCAGACUCCUACGGGAGGCAGCAGUAGGGAAUCUUCCGCAAUGGACGAAAGUCUGACGGAGCAACGCCGCGUGAGUGAUGAAGGCUUUCGGGUCGUAAAACUCUGUUGUUAGGGAAGAACAAGUGCUAGUUGAAUAAGCUGGCACCUUGACGGUACCUAACCAGAAAGCCACGGCUAACUACGUGCCAGCCGCCGCGGUAACAC